ACAGAGGUCCCAAGCGUUGUUCGGAUUCACUGGGCGUAAAGCGUGCGUAGGUGGCUGUGUAAGUUCGAUGUGAAAGCUCCGAGCUCAACUUGGAAAUUGCAUUGAAAACUAUGCAGCUAGAGGGUCGGAGGGGAGACUGGAAUUCUCGGUGUAGCAGUGAAAUGCGUAGAUAUCGAGAGGAACACCAGUGGCGAAGGCGAGUCUCUGGACGACUCCUGACACUGAGGCACGAAAGCUAGGGGAGCAAACAGG
rnacentral:rRNA from 1 species